rnacentral:rRNA from 1 species
UACGUAGGGGGCAAGCGUUAUCCGGAUUUACUGGGUGUAAAGGGAGCGUAGACGGCAUGGCAAGCCAGAUGUGAAAUACCGGGGCUCAACCCCGGGACUGCAUUUGGAACUGUUAAGCUGGAGUGUCGGAGAGGCAGGCGGAAUUCCUAGUGUAGCGGUGAAAUGCGUAGAUAUUAGGAGGAACACCAGUGGCGAAGGCGGCCUGCUGGACGAUGACUGACGUUGAGGCUCGAAAGCGUGGGGAGCAAACAGGG